rnacentral:rRNA from 1 species
GUUCCACCUCUUCCCAUUCCGAACAGAGAAGUUAAGCCCGUCUGCGCCGAUGGUACUGCAAUGCAAUGUGGGAGAGUAGGAGGCUGCCGUUU